rnacentral:rRNA from 1 species
AGUUGAAUCUGAGGUGUUAUGGGGAGCCAAUUUUGGCGAAGUACCUGAUUCCACACUGUCGAGAAAAGCCUCUAUGGAGGAAGUUGGUGCCCGUACCGCAAACCGACACAGGUAGGUGAGGAGAGAAUCCUAAGACCAUCGGAAGAAUUGUUGUUAAGGAACUCGGCAAAUUAGCCCCGUAACUUCGGGAGAAGGGGUGCCAUGGAAACAUGGUCGCAGUGAAUAGGCCCAAGCAACUGUUUAGCAAAAACACAGGUCUCUGCUAAAGCGAAAGCUGAUGUAUAGGGGCUGACGCCUGCCCGGUGCUGGAAGGUUAAGGGGAUCCGUUAACGUAAGUGAAGCGGUGAACUUAAGCCCCAGUAAACGGCGGCCGUAACUAUAACGGUCCUAAGGUAGCGAAAUUCCUUGUCGGGUAAGUUCCGACCCGCACGAAUGGCGUAAUGACUUGGGCACUGUCUCAACAACAAAUCCGGCGAAAUUGUAGUGCAAGUGAAGAUGCUUGCUACCCGCGAUUGGACGGAAAGACCCCGUAGAGCUUUACUGUAGCUUAGCAUUGAGUUUCGGUAUUGUCUGUACAGGAUAGGUGGGAGACUUGGAAACAGGGGCGUUAGCCUCUGCGGAGUCAUCCUUGGGAUACCACCCUGACAGUACUGAGAUUCUAACCGGCGGCCAUGAAUCUGGUCACGGGACAUUGUUAGGUGGGCAGUUUGACUGGGGCGGUCGCCUCCAAAAAAGUAACGGAGGCGCCCAAAGGUUCCCUCAGUGCGGUUGGAAAUCGCGCGUAGAGUGCAAAGGCAGAAGGGAGCCUGACUGCGACACAUACAAGUGGAGCAGGGACGAAAGUCGGGCUUAGUGAUCCGGUGGUUCCUCGUGGGAGGGCCAUCGCUCAACGGAUAAAAGCUACCUCGGGGAUAACAGGCUGAUCUCCCCCAAGAGUCCACAUCGACGGGGAGGUUUGGCACCUCGAUGUCGGCUCGUCGCAUCCUGGGGCUGAAGUAGGUCCCAAGGGUUGGGCUGUUCGCCCAUUAAAGCGGCACGCGAGCUGGGUUCAGAACGUCGUGAGACAGUUCGGUCCCUAUCCGUCGCGGGCGUAGGAAAUUUGAGAGGAGCUGUCCUUAGUACGAGAGGACCGGGAUGGACUGACCUCUGGUGCACCAGUUGUCACGCCAGUGGCACAGCUGGGUAGCUAUGUCGGGAAGGGAUAAACGCUGAAAGCAUCUAAGCGUGAAGCCCACCUCAAGAUUAGAUUUCCCAUAGCGUAAGCUAGUAAGACCCCUUGAAGAACACAAGGUUGAUAGGCUAGAGGUGUAAGUGUAGUAAUACAUUCAGCUGACUAGUACUAAUAGGUCGAGGGCUUGAUCU